CAUCUCUACGGAAUAACUCCGGGAAACUGGAGCUAAUACCGUAUACGUCCUUAUGGAGAAAGAUUUAUCGGAGAUGGAUGAGCCCGCGUUGGAUUAGCUAGUUGGUGGGGUAAUGGCCUACCAAGGCGACGAUCCAUAGCUGGUCUGAGAGGAUGAUCAGCCACACUGGGACUGAGACACGGCCCAGACUCCUACGGGAGGCAGCAGUGGGGAAUAUUGGAAAAGGGGCGCAAGCCUGAUCCAGCCAUGCCGCGU
rnacentral:rRNA from 1 species